GCCGCAGUAGCGCAACGGAAGCGCGGCUGUUUUGUAAGCAGCGUGUUCACGGUUCGAAUCCGUGCUGCGGCUCCA
rnacentral:tRNA from 1 species